rnacentral:rRNA from 1 species
UACAGAGGCCUCGAGCGUUAGGCGGAAUCACUGGGCUUAAAGCGCGUGUAGGCGGGUCGUUAAGUACCUUGUGAAAUCCCACGGCUCAACCGUGGAACUGCUGGGUAUACUGGCGGUCUUGAGCCAGCUAGGGGCUACCGGAACAAAUGGUGGAGCGGUGAAAUGCGUAGAUAUCAUUUGGAACGCCAAUGGUGAAGGCAAUCCCCUGGGCCUGCACUGACGCUCAUGCACGAAAGCGUGGGGAGCAAACAGG